rnacentral:rRNA from 1 species
UACGAAGGGGGGCGAGCGUUGUUCGGAUUUACUGGGCGUAAAGGGCGCGCAGGCGGCGACAUUUGUCAGGCGUGAAAGCCCCGGGCCUUGAACCUGGGAACUGCGUUUGAUACGGUGUGGCUAGAGUUCGGGAGAGGAGAGUGGAAUUCCCAGUGUAGAGGUGAAAUUCGUAGAUAUUGGGAAGGAACACCGGUGGCGAAGGCGGCUCACUGGCUCGUAUCUGACGCUCAGGCGCGAUAGCGUGGGGAUCAAACAGG